GAGCCAGGGACUCACGGGAGGUGGUACUGGAGAAGCUGGGCUGCAGCAGGGGUAAUGGUGGCUCACUGCUUUCUCUGUGCCGGGGGAACCUCAUGGGCAAAUCGGAAGGCAAAAGUCAAAGCCACAAGGAGGUAAACUGCUGGGAUCGGAUCACAGGAGGUGGUGACAGUAAAGGAGCAGAGAUCACAGGACUGAAAUGAAUCCACACCCGCUGAGGAACCGGACAGUGACGACAGAGGCAGAACUCAGAACCCGCUGCUACAAAAUUCAUUCCUACUCUGCAGGAGUGUAACGAGAAUCACUCUUAACCGUUUGCAAUACAGAGUCCGUGACACACAGUUGUGUGGUCCCAAUCGUUUCCAGUAGAGGGCACUGCUGUACAUUUACACCAGAGUGAAAUGGAAAGAGAACCUGUGAUUCCUUCAGCUCUUUAACCACUUGAAUGCAUCUGGGUCACCUGCGGAGACGUGCUCCCUGAACCGUCCGCUGUCUUUUACCCCCAGUUGUAUAGCUAGACCUUUUCCCUAAUCUUAUGCGCUUUUCUAAUGCACAAGCCAGUUUUGGAAUCUUGUUUUCCAUUUGAUUUUAGAAAGACACCACCACCAACCAAAAAACCCCCCAAAACCCAUAGCCUGCUGGUUACAAUAUGCGGACAGGGGCUGGUAUGAAUUGGUAUGCUUUACAGCCCAAAGAGAGAGACACGCAUCUAAUUUCUACUUGCCAAAGCUGAAGGAAACUAUGCGACAGAGACCUCUGUGCCCCUGGAAUGAAUGAUUUUUGGUAUUAAUUACUCAUUGGACUUGAAAGCCCACAAUUCUGGCAGCAUUUGGUGCUGUGGAAGUGGGGAAGGGGAGCUGUGAAGUGAGCGGGGAGCGGUGUUGUCCAGCGUUGCCCUAAAUUAGCAGGCCUUGCUCCUAGAAAACCUUCAUUUAAAGCUUGGUUCACAGAAACCUGUGGAAGAUUUUUCUGCUUAAACCAAGUGUCCUGAAGCCAUCCCCAGCACAAGUCCUUCGAAAUCAAUCCGCGAGGAAAAACAAAAGCCGAUACCGGGAAUUGGCCCUGUGUAUUUUCUGCCUGACAUCUGGUGUUCCUUUUUCCUUGUGGUUUUUAUUACUAGGAACACUUGGAUUAAAAAUAAGCACAAACUCUGAUCUUUUUAUCUUUUGGGGUUCUCUGCUCGUUCCUCAUGUAGUACCACAUUAACGUUUGACCUCCGCAGCCACCGAUCAUGAUGGCGUUAGGAAAAGUUUGUGGUUUCCCAGGAAGAGUAAGCAGCAGCAGUAGGAAGCACAAGGGAGACUCGCAGCCAACAAGGAACCGUCCUGCCUUCCUGCAAAAAUCAUAAACCAGGAGGGAAGGGACCAGAAGAAGAAAUGGAGGUGGGAAAGGCUCCCCCCUUGUCAGCUCAUGGGAAAGUCUCCAGAAACAGCAAUCUUUGUCCAUCUCUCACAAAGUCCUGUUCAUGCCAGCAGAUUUCAUUGUCUCUAAGGCUUUUCUCAGGGUCACCUCGAGGGGGGAGAAAAAAAUCAGCUAUUAAAAGACCAUUUCUCCAUGUACAAACAGGAAAACGCACAAAACUGCUCAUCUUACACAACGGCUAAACAAACCACACUGACCAGUGCCCACAACUCCUAGAAGGGUCUUUCUAUGUUUCCC